CUAUACAAGGUUGUGCUGACUUGGGUCUCCUGUUCUGCAUGAGCCUCUGACACGCAUAGUUGAGGUUGAGGAAUCUGUGCCUAGUGGGUUUGAGGUUUCAUCAAGAGAAAAACGGGAAACUUAUGUGAUUUCACUGAGUAACUAUUUUCACUACAAAAAAAAAAAAUUCCCAUAUUUAUUUUUUCCCCCUUUUGAAAUGGCACUAAGGAAACACAUGCCAGACUGCCAUGAACAGAGGCUGUACUUUCCAAACAGUAGCAAGGACUAAAAAUAGAAAAGCUUGAUUUGCUCAAGAUGUAUAUAACUUCCUCUCCCAUUUCCUUUCCCCACCACCCUGAGUCAGUACACAGAAGCAGUGCAUGUUGAACCCUUUGCAUGCUGACAACAGUGUCAAAAGCAUCAAAAGGGUGCUUUUGAUAAGUAUAGUACAGACUUCCUAAGUCCUUUCCCAGAGAAUUUCUAUUGCCCAUUCAAAUAAAGAAUGAAUCGAUCAAGCCUCAAAUACCAACGAAGUAGCUAUUCUAUCUUCUUGCAAUAAAAUAAAGGUUAUGGGUGAUACAGAAAUAUGAGUUGUGAUCCUGCCUUCAGGCAGUUGCUAAAAGAAAUGAACAAGAAGGUAAUGGAAACACCAGAGGUCUGGGAGUCCAGAAACCUCUAAUAGUGGUUAGGGCCAGUUCUCCUACUAACUGGGUCACCUUGAACAGUUCACUUAAGAAACUUAGGCUCCAGUUUCCUCAUCACAAGAAAGAGCAGGUGGGUUAGGACCAUGUCAAAUCUGGUGCUCUAUGACUUGUGAUUUUAUGUAAUUUCUAAAGUUCUCCCACAUUAUGAUUCUGGCUUUAUAAAAUAAAGUUUGGUGGCAAGAUUAUUGUACAGGCAAUGAUUACAUUACUCCACAAAAGGGCAUACAUUAAUUGGCAGAAAAAUCAACCAGCAUUAACAAAUUUAUUUAUUAACUGACUCAUAGUAAGCCUUUACUCUGAACCAGAAAUUGUUGGAUACUCUACAUUCAUUAUCUCAAUUAAUCCCCAAAAUAACCUUCUAAGAAACUGCUAUUUGCAUGUAAAGAUAGAUGGGAAAUGCAGUGGUAAGUGACCUAGCAGGGCAUUUUAACCCUAAAUCCUGGGCUCAUGUCACCAUAUCACAUGACUCAAUCAAAAGACUCAGGAGGCAAAAAAGAGAGAGACUCAUAUGAUCCAGUUGUCAGACACAUACGAGUAAAUAGUAAAGUUAGGCCUUCAAAAAUGAGGAUGUGUCAGGUAUCAAGAAAGACAUAAGAAAAAUUAGCUUGGCAUAUGAAGCUGACAAUGAGGACAUAAGCUUCAAAAGAGCAAGGACUGUAUAAAAAGCACAGCGGGAAAUAAGGUGUGCUAUAUAAGAUGAGGUAAGUCAUAGAGUUCUCUGAAAAGUAAAUCAAGAGGAGAAAUUUAAUGUGGCAUACAAUAAAAAGACAGAGGAAGCACAUUUUAACCACUAAUUGGUUAUAGAUAUGCAGUUGGAAUGUAAAAAAGAUAGAAUCAAGGCAAUGAGUAGGUUGUAACCCAGAAGACAUGAACUAGGACAAUGGGCAAGAAAAUACAGAGAUUGAAAUAAUCCUGUAAACCUUGGUGAUAGACAUACAAAGAAAGCAAGAUGUAUCAUCAACGAACACAGUUUAGCUGGCAAGACUAGAAAAUAUAAUGGCAUCUCUAAUAGAAUGUAAGCCUUUGAGCAAGAUGAUGAGUAGACUUAGGGACACAUCAAAAGUGAAAAGGCAGGUGUUAUCUACAAAAAGAUCUCAAGGAUAAAUGAAAGAAAACUUGUCAAAGGAAAACACAAUACCAAGUCAUAAGCAUUUGAAGUAAUUAGAUAAAGAAAGACCAAAGUUGAUCCCAUUAGAGUUGUGACAUCUACUGAAAGAAAACAGAAGGUCAAAUGGAAAACUCUGAGUGGCCAUGUAAAUUUAGAGACAAGAAGAAAGGAAGAGGAGCUGGUAAAUAAGGGAGAAAAGGAAUGGUUGCAGGCACACGGAGGAAUCAAGGAAAUUCUGUUCAGUAAAAAUCAAAAGGAAGUUAAAGGGAUUCGGAGAAUAUGGCAAAGCAGGAAGCACCAUAAAUCUGUCUUUCAACACCCAUUGCACUGGCGCCAUCUAAGAAGUUAUUUUGGAAGUCAAGAGUCUAUUAAAGGCAUCUAAUUUCUGGAGGGAAGGCUUAGAUGGCAUCUGUGCACAUGUUCUUGAAGCAGCUUGCAUAUAACUCACCUGAUCCAAGCUGGGCAUAAAGGACCCGUCUUCCAUAUAUAAGGGAUCUGUGCAUUAAUUGCUGCUUCUAAUCACACAUAUAAAGAAAAAGGGGCAACUAUCAUUAGUGUUGCCCCUCCUACUCCAGCUGAAGUGUCUUACAUGGGACUCAAAAGGCCAGUACUUUUUCUUUUUUUUCCUUUCUUCAUUUUUAUUUUUUUACUUUUUCUCAUUUUGGGAGACAGACAUUGAUGACCAGGGCAUUUGAAAACAAUAGGGGAAAUUAGAAAGUCACUGCACAUAACCAGGGAAAGAUACAGGCUCAGAAAAUAAUUAAGAUCAUAGGUUUACAAAAAAGCUAAUACUUAGCACAGAGACAGGCAAUGAUAACCCCACAAAACAAAAACAACAGUAAACCUUGGGGAAGAUAAAGAGUCUGAUUUCCUGAGUUACUAUAUUAUUAGAUUCAAAUGUGCGCUUUUCAACAACAACAAAAAAAUCAAAAGACAUACAAAGAAACAGGAUAGCCUGGUCUGUUCAAAGCAAAAAUAUAAACCAACAGAAACUGUCUCUAAAAAAGACCUGAUGGUGGAUCUACCUGACCAAGACUUAAAAACUACUGUCUUAAAAGCGCUCAAAGAACUGAAGGAAGCAAGGAGAAAGUUAAGAAAACAAUGCAUGAAUAAAAUGGGAAUAUCAAUACAGUAAAAGAAAAAAAAAACAAAAAGCAAUUGUGGAAAUGAAAACUACAAUAACUAAAAUAAAAAAUUCAUUAGAGGAACGAAAAGGCAGAUUGAGAAGACAAAAGAAAGAAUCAGAAAACUUGAAGAGAGGUCAAAGUAAAUUAAUAAGUCUAAGAAUCAGAAAGAAUAAAGACUGAAGACAGGUGAACUGAACCUAAGAGACCUGUGGGACACAGUCAAGUAUACUAAAGUAUGCCUUAUGCGAUUCCCAGAAGGAUGAGACAGAGAUAAAAGGCAGGGACGAUACUUGAAGAAAUAAUGGCCAAAAAAAUCCCCAAAUUUGAUCAAAGACAAGAGUAUAAACAUCCAAAAAGCUCAAAAAGUACAAGACGAAUUCAAACACUGAGGCACCUUAUAAUUAAACUGUCAAAAAACAAAGACAAUGACAGAAUUUUGAAAGUUGCAAGAGAGGUAACUCAUCAUAUACAAGGGAGCCUCAAGAAAAUUAUCCAGUUUUCUUCUCAGCAGCUUUAGAUGCCAAAAAACAGUGGGCCGGUAUAUUCAAAGUACGAAAA